UUUUGCCGCACAGCGCCCUGCAUGUCUCCCUCCACCAUGAAUGGAGUUGAAGUUCUCUAAACUCUCAUAAAACAGCGUCUCAGUCAUCAGGCAGUGAAUUCAGAACCAGUUCAUGUAGGAACUUUAUGUGAGGAGCUUUUAGAGGGGGACGUCUGGUUCCCAUCACCACCACUGUGAACAGCUUCCCUUUAACACACUCCAAACAGCACUUCGUGGGCUCUCAGGCUAAACCACAAACACUAAAGUGUUUUUUUUGUCUAAUUUAACUUCUGAGACAAAUACAAGCAAUGCAGACAUCUGGCCCUGUAGAGUCCGCUGUGCUCCAGCAGGGGGCGCUCACCGACACAGCUGCUCCUCCACAAAGCAUUCACGACAGGAAACGACCAGCGCACGCUGCUGUGUCUAAAGAAGCAGUAGAACAUACAAACGAGUGUGGAGGAUAACAUCACGCCUGUGACUUGGUCAAGCUGAGGCAGAGAACAGCAGCAAGUGCCCUGCGGUGUAUCGUGUCUGUCCGCGCCCGUCUGGACGGGGAGCCGAGCGGCGGCUGAAAUCCCCCAGCGGCUGCAGGCUGCCACACACGCUCUCCUGCGCUCCACACACACUCCGCACACACGCAGAUCCACACAGACAGGAGUCUCAGCAUAUGGCUGCGCCAGGACUCUGCUGAAGCUCUGACACGGGGAAAAACAUGGACAAACGGAGGAGAAGGGACAGUCCACCCAAAAAUGAGCUCCAUGCUCACUGCUCCCACACACACACGCGUGAUGGCUGCUGUUUGAGUGUGUGUUAGGGUUCUCACUGUCACUUAAAUUAGCACACAAGUAAUGGGACUGCUUAGUAGGAUAAACACACAAUGACACAGUAACGUACGUGAGCUGGACUCUGAACUAAUCACACUGUUACGUACAUUUACAGUCACUGUAGUCUGUACAGAAGCUUUUCCUACAGACAAAAUCAACACAUGACAACAAGUGUUCAGAUUACCGGCUGCCAGCAGGGUCAUUUGCAGGCUAAUCACAUUUGGCCAGAACUCUUUUAUUAGUGCGCUAGAGUCGCUUUGAAGGCCGUUAGCUGAUAAUUGCUGUGGGCCUAGUAAUCGUACUAUGGGCCGCUGAAGUUUAGUAGCGCUGUCUUUUUCAGCGUCUACUUUGAUGGUAGGUGAGUUGUUUUGCUACAGCGACACACAAUUGCGACCGACUUGGAAUUGAAAGUGAUUUGCUCCGCCCACACUGGCCUUUUUUUCCACACCUCCUCUGUACAUAUUCUCUGAAAAGCUACAUUUUCAUUGGCUCAUUUAAGUUUAAGGUUCUGUAGAACAUACACAUCAAUUUCAUACUAGACCCUGAGUCAUUUAUACUCAUAAUUUAUACUAAUAUACUAGAAUAAUUCAUACUGGAUACUGAAUAAUUAAUUAUAGACACUGAGUGAUUCGUACUAGACAAUGAAUAAUUAAUUGUAUACAAUGAAUAAUUCAUACCAGAUGCUGAAUAAUCCAUACGACAUACUGAAUAAUUCAUACUAGAUGCGGAAUAAUUAAUUGUAUACAAUGAAUAAUUCGUAGUAGAUACUGAAUCAUUCGUAGUAGAUAAUGAAUAAUUCAUACGAGACACUGAAUAAUUGUAUACAAUGAAUAAUUCAUACCAGAUGCUGAAUAAUUCAUAUGAGACACUGAAUAAUUAAUUUUAUACAAUGAAUAAUUAAUACUAGAUACUGAAUUAUUUGUACUAGAUACUGAAUAAGUCAUACAAGACACGAAAUAAUUCAUAUUAGAUACUUCAAAGCAGAUGCUGAAUAGGUCUUAAGAUUAGUAACUGAAGUAUUUGCCUGGGAUUUGAAACGACUUUACGGUGUUUAAUAACAAUAAUAAUAGUUGUGGUCUCAAGGUCUUAAUUUCUUAGUUGACGAUUUUUAAUCUGGUUUAAGUUUAAUCAAGUAAUCGUGACAGCCCUGGUAUGACUGAGUGAGUGAGCG
ensembl:lncRNA